AAGAAGUUAUUUGAGGAUCUGUUCAUUCCUUAGAGGGAGCAGGUAUCUUUGGGAGUCCUUUACUUGGCAGGCGAUGCACAUGCUUGGUGGAGGAGAGUGAGGCGAGAUCAGGGACUGGUAGCGUUGCAGCUGAGAUGGGAUGAGUUCUGUGGAAUACUGUAUGGGAUGUAUUUUUCCAACAGUGUGAAACAGAAGCUCAAGGAGGAUUUGAAGAGGAUUCAGUAGG
rnacentral:lncRNA from 1 species